AGCAGUAGCCACGGUAAUACGAAGGGGGCUAGCGUUGUUCGGAAUUACUGGGCGUAAAGGGCGCGUAGGCGGCCAUUCAAGUUAGAUGUGAAAGCCCUGGGCUCAACCUAGGAAUUGCAUUUGAUACUGUUUGGCUUGAGUUCGGGAGAGGUGAGUGGAAUUCCGAGUGUAGAGGUGAAAUUCGUAGAUAUUCGGAAGAACACCAAUGGCGAAGGCGGCAACCUGGUCCUUGACUGACGCUGAGGCGCGAAAGCGUGGGGAGCAAACAGGAUUAGAUACCCCCGUAGUCCCUGUCUCUUAUAU
rnacentral:rRNA from 1 species